UCCGAGCUAUUAAGGAUAGAUACUACAUUGAUCUAAGAAGGAACUAGCUUUGUGGAGUUAUAGACGCUUGUAAUUAUACACACAAAAACAUACUUGGGGGACAUCUUGGGGCAUGGUUUCAGUAAUUUUUCCCCUUGUGUAAGUAAGUUACUCUGGUUUGCAGUACAACAUUCUAUAGAAUGUUAAGUGGAAGUAGAUGCUCCCUACUUUUCAUGUGGAAGUGGACCAAUGUCCAUAAAGAGUGGCAAAUAAAAUGAAUAAUGAUUCCACACACACACAAAAAAGGAGUAGUCCAGGGGGUCUUUUGCCCCAGGUUGUCUCUCUGCUGGUUGGGACUUAGGGUCUCUCUUUACUGGAGUGUGAUGUACCCCCAAAGUGAUCCCCUGCAGCUUCAGGGCAGAAUGGGUGGUUGGGAUCACCAAGUGGGGUCAGUUCCCCUUAGGAGUGAGCUGAUCUUGCAGGCUGCCGGUUUUCCAGGUUUUUAGGUUCACCCAGUCUCCUGACCAGAAAGAGUGGAAAGCCAGGUCAGUGGGUGUGGGCAGCACGUGGUUACCAUAUUCCAUGAGGGCUUUCAUGGUUUCUCCUACCUGGAGGGCACACUUGAGUUGUUCCAUUUUGAGGGGGUUAAGGUGUCCCUUCUCUUGGGCUUGGGGAAUGGGUCUGCCAUACCUGAAUUCAAACACACUUUAAUUUUUCCCUUAGGGCAAUCAAAAGCAACUUAAUCCAAUUUUCUUGAGUCUCCUGAUACAGUUUGUCUAAGGCCAGUUUCAAGGUCUGAUUGAAUCUCCCUACUUUCCCCGAUGAUUGGGGUCACCAGGAUGAGUGCAAGGUUCAUUUUAUGCCUAGGGCACUUGUUAUCCCCUUCAUCACUUGAGACACAAAUGCUGGACCAUUAUCACUUUGUAGGGAUCCUAAGAGCCCAGACCUGGGGAUUAUUUCUUUUAGCAACUUCAGCUGCCAUUUCAGUUCUAGCAGGGAAUGCUUCUGUCCACCCAGAAAAUGUGUCUACUAGCACCAGGAGAUAUCUGAAAUUGCCUGAUACUCUCAGUAUCACAGUGAAAUCAGUCUG